AUGCAGAAAGAGAGGGACAAGAAAAGCACCAAGGGUGUUGGCGAACCUAAGAAGACCAUGGAUUCUAGUGGUGGCAGCGUAUCAAAGAAGGCGAGAACAACAAGCAAGGGCAACACGAACACGGAGCAUCCAGAGAAGGAGGAUGACGAGAUCUUCGACGUCUUCUCCCUUGAGAUGGAUACUCUGGUGUGCGACAUAUGCUUUCAUCCAGAGAAGGAGGCAUGCCGCUUCGCGCCGUACCUCUGUCCGUUCGACGGCUGCGCCUACCGCGGCCGCCUCCUCUACAGUCACAUUCUUGACGCCCACGCGCCAGCCGGCGACGCCGCCACCUUCACCAAGAGUACCACUCCCAACACUAUGAUCGUCACAGUGACGCUACAGAAGUCGACGCCCUUGCGCGCGCUGCUCCACCCCGACGGCAAGAGCGUGUUCCUCCUGCUCUCAACGGCGGCGACCUCCUCACGGGCCGCUCGCUCUCGGUGGUCCGCGUAUGCCCAUACGGGGCCGAGGUGGAUCAGGAGGCGGAGUCAAUAUACUUGA
rnacentral:rRNA from 1 species